UGAAAUGAAAUUCACUCACCUGUCAAUCCCCAAUGAGUAAAAGUCAGAACAAGGGUUGUGUGAAAAUCCAGUCUGGCUUUAGAAUUUAAGUCACCUGCUUUGCCACAGGAAAUAGCCUCUCAUGAGGGUUCAUGAGAAUUGAAAGUGCACACCCACCCUGUCUCUCUUAACAGAGCAGGGAUGGUCUUUAUUUACUGAGCAAGAAGGAAGCAGCUGAGACGGAGAGGUUGCCUAGCCUUACUAAACGAGCGUUGUAGUCAAUUAACCAGUACCAUCUCGGAAGGAAAAUGAAGCCAUGUUACACCCUCAUGUUCCCGUUUGCAGACGCCUCACAGGACAGUACAAAUAUUUGACAUUUUUUGUGUGUGUUCAUGAAAGCAGCCUUUAAGGGCUAUGGUUGCGUUGUGGCCCUCGGCUCACCUGCUGUGGAAAUGCAGUUUGCUGUGACAGAGCUUUAUCGUAGGCUACGACUCAAAGUAAAGGGCUUCUUGGGACUUCUGAUUUUACCAGACUCUAGAUUGCAGUUUUCAGUCCACAAACACACUGGCCAAACCCUGAGCAGGGUCUUGACACCAACAAGCAUCCCCAUGGCAAGGGAGGCAUCAAAUGGCAUUCUCUGUCUGGGUCGCACCCCACUGCACCCAUCGUCACUAAGGUGUGCGUCCACCAUCGGCCUCAAGAAGAAUACACGUCCCCAGAUUUUCUAGCUACACUCAACACAGAAGCUGGUCUGAAUUUUGGUAAUGUUUAAUGUUUAAUUUUCAUUGUUCUUAUCAGUGGAGUUGCUAUUUAUUUAAUUUUACUUUAAAAUUGUAUGCAUUUCCCACUGACUUUGAAGAUUAAUCUCAAAAAUCUUGACAACUUUGCUAAUAGUCCAUCUAUUUUUAAAGUUGUCAAAGAAAUAUUUUGACUACUAAUAAUUAAAAUAUUAAUUUUAUUAAAAUAGACUACUAAUAAUUAAAACAUGUUUUGAUGACACAGAAAGUAACAAGUCCACCAAAAAUAUCAAAACCAAACCAAGCUUUUUGGAGAAAUUUAGAUUCCUUUUGUUUGUAUUUCUUUCCUAAACAUUUAAAAACAUUGCUUUUGAGGCUUGUAUUAGCUAUUUUUCUGUUGCUAUAAUAAAAUACCAAAAUGAACUUUUAACA
rnacentral:lncRNA from 1 species